rnacentral:snRNA from 1 species
AGCCACGCAGUGAGCACAAAACGAACUAUUCUUUCGCCUUUUGCUAUAGAUACCGUGUGCUCGCUACUUCAAGUGACAUGCGCCUACUUUUGGGAGUCCCUUCAUUUAUUAGAAGGC